rnacentral:rRNA from 1 species
GAUGAACGCUGGCGGCGUGCCUAAUACAUGCAAGUCGAACGCAUUGUGGUUGAAAUGAUAUGAAGAACUUGUUCAGAUUUGAUUUUCAACAUUGCAAUGAGUGGCGAACGGGUGUGUAACACGUGGGAAACCUACCUCUUAGCAGGGGAUAACAUUUGGAAACAAAUGCUAAUACCGUAUAAUAAUUAAAACCGCAUGGUUUUAGUUUAAAAGAUGGUCUUGCUAUCACUAAGAGAUGGUCCCGCGGUGUAUUAGUUAGUUGGUGAGGUAAUGGCUCACCAAGACAAUGAUACAUAGCCGAGUUGAGAGACUGACCGGCCACAAUGGGAGUGAGACACGGCCCAUACUCCUACGGGAGCAGCAGUAGGAAUCUCCACAAUGGACGAAAGUCUGAUGGAGCAACGCCGCGUGUGUGAUGAAGGUUUCGGCUCGUAAAACACUGUUGUAAGAGAAGAAUGACAUUGAGAGUAACUGUUCAAUGUGUGACGGUAU